AGUUAAUUAUUAUUUGGUGAAUAGAGUUAUUAUUAGUAAAUAAAAUUAUAAAAAAUUAUAAUGGUUGAUUAAAUAAAAUUAAUUAAUUAUAAAGAGUUAUAGUAGAAGGUAUUGUAAAAGAUAAAAAUUUAAGUAAAAAGAAGUAAAUUUAAGUUAUUGUACCUUUUGUAUCAGGGAUUAUUAAAAUAAGGUUUUUAAAUAGGGAAAAUUUCUCGAAGUUGAAAGAGCGAAUAAAGUAUUAUAGUUAAUGUUACAUAAUUAUUAUUAAUAUUUUGUUAGUGAAUAUAUUUUAGUAAAUUUUAAGGAUAUCUAGUUUUUUAUUAUUAAAUUUAAUUUAAUUUUGAUUAUUAAUAUUAUUUUAGUAAAAAUAAGUAUAUUAAAGAUUAGGAGUAAAAAUUAUGGGAUAAACUAUAAUUUUUUUUAAAAUUUUAAUUGUGAGAGAAUUUAAAAAUAUUCAUAAUAUUUGAGAUUUUUAAGAAAAAUUUAAUAAUUUAUAAGUUAUAAAAUGAUUUAAUUAGUUAUUAAAAUGAUUUUAGGAUAUGAAUUUAAUGGUGUAAAUAAAGUAUUUAUUAAAAUGAAUGUUAAUAAAAUAAUAAUGAUAAUAUUAGUAAAAUAAUAAAUUUUAGAAUGUAAUUACAGGAAAUAUUAAUUUUAGGAAUUAGGCAAAAAUGUAAAUUCACCUGUUUAAUAAAAACAUGGUUUUUUGAAUAUAAUUAAAGAUUGUUUCUGCCCACUGAAGGUUUUAAAUGGCUGCAGUAUUUUGACUGUACAAAGGUAGCAUAAUCAAUAGUUUUUUAAAUGGAAACUAGAAUGAAAGAAGUGAUGAGAUUUACGCUGUCUUAGAUUGAAUAGUUGAAAUUAUUAAUUAAGUAAAAAUACUUAGAUGGAUAUAUGGGACGAGAAGACCCUAUAGAAUUUUAUAUAAGUUUUAAGAAUAGAUUAGUAUUAUUUUAUAAAAUUUAUAUUUUAUUGGGAGGAUAGUUAAAUUAAUAUAACUUUAAUAAAGAGUAAUGCCAUUAAUUUAUGAUUGUGAUUGAGUGACUAGUAAGUUUAGUUAAAAUUAAUUACCUUAGGGAUAACAGCGUAAUAUUUUUAGAAAGAUCUUAUUAAUAAAAAUGAUUGCGACCUCGAUGUUGAAUUAAGAUAAAAAUUAAAUGAAGAAGUUUAAUAUUUAAGUCUGUUCGACUUUUAAAAUCUUACAUGAUUUGAGUUUAGAUCGGCGUGAGCCAGAUCGGUUUCUAUCUAUAUUGAGUUUAAAAUUAUUUGUACGAAAGGACUUUAAUUUUUAAUAAAAUUGAAUAAGUAAUAGAAAUUAUUUUGGCAGAUUAGUGCAUUAAAUUUAGAAUUUAAUAAAAAUAUAA
rnacentral:rRNA from 1 species